UUGCCCUCAAAUCAAGGUAGAAUACCCCCUU
rnacentral:rRNA from 1 species